rnacentral:tRNA from 1 species
GGAGUAGUAUCGAAGUGGUCAUAACGAGCACGAUUGGAAAUCGUGUAGUCCGCAAGGGCUCGAGGGUUCGAAUCCCUCCUACUCCGCCA